rfam:Gorilla gorilla gorilla genomic chromosome, chr11, whole genome shotgun sequence
GCCGAGCAUGGUGGCACAUGCUUGUAAUCCCAGCUACUUGGGAGGCUGAGGCAGGAGAAUCACUUGAACCCAGGAGGUGAAGUUUGCAGUGAGCCAAGAUCAUGGCCACUGCACCAGAGCCUGGGCAACAUAGUGAGACUCUGUCUCAA